UCCUGGCUUAGGAUGAACGCUGGCGGCGUGCCUAACACAUGCAAGGUCGAGCGGAAUCAUCUGAUUGAAACUUCGGUAGAUAGAGGAUGAGGAUAGCGGCGGACGGGUGAGUAACGCGUAGGUAACCUGCCCCUUACACAGGGAUAGCCUCGGGAAACUGGGAUUAAUACCUGAUAACGCGGUGAAGUCACAUGGCUUUACCGCCAAAGAUUUAUCGGUGAGGGAUGGACCUGCGUCUGAUUAGCUGGUUGGUGAGGUAACGGCCCACCAAGGCAACGAUCAGUAGCCGACCUGAGAGGGUAAUCGGCCACAUUGGAACUGAGACACGGUCCAAACUCCUACGGGAGGCAGCAGUGGGGAAUAUUGCACAAUGGGCGCAAGCCUGAAUGCAGCAACGCCGCGUGAGCGAAGAAGGUCUUCGGAUCGUAAAGCUCUGUCCUCAGGAACGAAGAAGUGACGGUACCUGAGGAGGAAGCCCCGGCUAACUACGUGCCAGCCGCGGC
rnacentral:rRNA from 1 species